rnacentral:rRNA from 1 species
CUGGCGGCGUGCCUAAUACAUGCAAGUCGAGUUCAUGAUGAGGAGCUUGCUCCUCUGAUUUAGCGGCGGACGGGUGAGUAACACGUGGGUAAUCUGCCUGUAAGACGGGGAUAACUCCGGGAAACCGGGGCUAAUACCGGAUAAUAAGAGAAGAAGCAUUUCUUCUUUUUGAAAGUCGGUUUCGGCUGACACUUACAGAUGAGCCCGCGGCGCAUUAGCUAGUUGGUGAGGUAACGGCUCACCAAGGCGACGAUGCGUAGCCGACCUGAGAGGGUGAUCGGCCACACUGGGACUGAGACACGGCCCAGACUCCUACGGGAGGCAGCAGUAGGGAAUCUUCGGCAAUGGGCGAAAGCCUGACCGAGCAACGCCGCGUGAGCGAUGAAGGCCUUCGGGUCGUAAAGCUCUGUUGUUAGAGAAGAACAAGUACGAGAGUAACUGCUCGUACCUUGACGGUACCUAACCAGAAAGCCACGGCUAACUACGUGCCAGCAGCCGCGGUAAUACGUAGGUGGCAAGCGUUAUCCGGAAUUAUUGGGCGUAAAGCGCGCGCAGGCGGUCUCUUAAGUCUGAUGUGAAAGCCCACGGCUCAACCGUGGAGGGUCAUUGGAAACUGGGAGACUUGAGUGCAGGAGAGAAAAGUGGAAUUCCACGUGUAGCGGUGAAAUGCGUA